AUUGAACGCUGGCGGCAGGCCUAACACAUGCAAGUCGAGCGGGGUUUUCGGACCUAGCGGCGGACGGGUGAGUAAUGCGUAGGAAGCUACCCGAUAGAGGGGGAUACCAGUUGGAAACGACUGUUAAUACCGCAUAAUGUCUACGGACCAAAGUGUGGGACCUUCGGGCCACAUGCUAUCGGAUGCGCCUACGUGGGAUUCGCUAGUUGGUGAGGUAAUGGCUCACACAGGCGACGAUCCCUAGCUGGUUUGAGAGGAUGAUCAGCCACACUGGAACUGAGAAACGGUCCCGACGCCUACGGGAGGCGGCAGUGGGGAAGAUUGGACAAUGGGCGCACGCCUGAUCCAGCCAUGCCGCGUGUGUGAAGAAGGCCUUCGGGUUGUAAAGCACUUUCAGUAGGGAGGAAGCGUUGUGUGUUAAUAGUACACAGCGUUGACGUUACCUACAGAAGAAGCACCGGCUAACUCUGUGCCAGCAGCCGCCGUAAGAC
rnacentral:rRNA from 1 species